GGAACUGUGACUAGUUAAAAGUAACAAAGCUCAGCUUCAAACAGACAAACAUUUUCAUUAAUAUAUCAGUAUUGUCUGAAAAAGAUUAUAGAAAAAUAUUCUUUCUUUAAUCACUCUUGUUGUUAGUUCUCAGGCCAGGCUUAUUCCUUCAGUCUUUAUACAAUGGAUGAUUACAAAUCUUUUAAAAUUAAUUUAGAGUGCUUGUUAAAGUUCUCUCUGCCAUGUUUUGAAUUAUUUUUUAGAGCCAGAAAUGUCCAAAAGGAAAGCAAGAAAAAAGCCUGCUGAUGAAGCAACCUUUUACAUUCAAUCCUCAAAGGACAAACCUGGACUAGUGGAAAGAUUUAUUGAUGAUCAAAAAGGAAGAGGCAUGUUUGCUACCCAGCCCUUUGAACAAGGAGAUUUCAUCUUAGAAUACAGGGGUCAACUUCUGUCAGCAGAAAAAUGCCAAACAAGCAAGUACUCUGAAAAGGAGAGUACAUUUCUCUUUGACUUUGAAUGGCAGAAUCAUUACUGGUGUAUUGAUGCAUCAACAGAGGAUGGCUCUCUUGGAAGAUUAGUGAAUGACAACCACAAGUCUCCAAACUGCACCAU